UACGUAGGGUCCAAGCGUUAUCCGGAACCACUGGGCGUAAAGCGUGCGUAGGUGGCGUGUUAAGUGUGAUGUUAAAUCGUGUGGCUCAACCAUAUCGAUGUGUCGCAUACUGGCAUGCUAGAGGGAAGCAGAGGCAAGUGGAAUUUGUAGUGUAGCAGUGAAAUGCGUAGAUAUUACAAGGAACACCAAUGGCGAAGGCAGCUUGCUGGGCUUCUUCUGACACUGAGGUACGAAAGCGUGGGGAGCGAACAGG
rnacentral:rRNA from 1 species